CGAGGGCUCCCAGCCAAUCAUAACAAACACAACAAAAAUGGAGCAAUGCAGGUCUGAAAGUGUGACAGUGGAUGUAAGAGAAUAUGCUGUUCUCUGCAGGUUGCUGAGAUGACCAACCAUUCCCAGCUGCAGUGGUGGACCACUUGAGAACUGGACCUGAGAUCAACACCUCAUUUCACUAAGCAGCUACCAGAUGAAAAAAGUGCCCACACUCUAACACCCCAGUGAAAGGCCAUCACCGCUCAGCUACCAAACCUUCCAGCCCUCAGUCUCAAUGAUAUAAACAGCAUUUCUUUAUAGGUACAGAAAAUCUCUUUCCCUCAACUACAUUUAAGGCCAAGUGUUCUAAGAUACAACAAUGUGUAAUACUGAAACUCCAGCUGAAUGUUGGCAA